GCAGCGGCGGCGACAACCCGGAAACGGGCGGGGCGCGGGCCCUGGCUAAAGAGAAGGAAAGUCUGGUGGCUGACAAGUAAACCAACAGUUAUGUUCUUCAGAGAGGAGAUCUCAGACUCUCUAAGCAAAAGAAACUAAUAGCUGUAUGACAACAGCCAAAGAGUAAAUAUCCUUUCAAGUCCAAUCCUGCCUAAGAUGUCAAAAUCAAGAAUGAAGAGGUUAUGUGCUGAAACAGAAUGACCUUCACAAGAUGCAGCCUCUGGAUCUUGGACUUCCCCAGCCUCCAGAACUCUGAGCAGAGCCCCAUAAAUGAGAAGCCACGAAGACUGAGGUUACACAGUGAUCCACAGUUGCCACAAAACUGAGCAGGCAUCAAGGUACAUCUUGGUGUUGAAUGAAGUUGUUCCAUAUGGGCUCAUUUCUCAGUACUGAAGAAUGGGAUUUUGGACACAGAAGUGAUUUUGAUAAGUGACAGAAUUCUGCCGAAGGCCAGAGGCAAAAAGAGGCAAAACAAGGAACAUAAAAAUAGAGAAUCUACAAAUUAGCAUGUUAUAAUUACUCUCUUGCAUAGCAUUUAAGGACAUCUUUGAAAAGAUUCAAUGUCUUCAGCAACUGUAUCUAACUAGCAUGUACUAUAACUCAAAUUGACAUGAUUCCUAAAGAGAAGCAUCGGGACAACUCUUCUAUAGUGAUGAGGCAUUACUGAACAAUGUUUUUGGUUGAUAAACAGUAAUAGAAAUUUGGGAUUAAAAUGGCCUUUUCAAAGGAGUAGGUCAUUCCUAUGAAAAUAAUAGAUACUUAAAUUUAUCUCUCAUUUCUUGUUUGUGUUUGUGCAUUAGUCAACUUGACACUUCAAGGAUCCUUAAUUUUUAUGAAGAUGGUAGCAUGCUGGUAACAUUUUUGAAAUACCUAUUUUUUUGAAAGCCUGUAUCUUACCUUUCCCCAAGACUGAAUAUAAGUUGUCAUGAUAGUUACAAGGCUGAUGAAAUACUGAAUGAAUUGUGGGAGGAGUGGUUGCAGCAGGGGUUGCAUGGUGAAGAGGAGGCAAAGGAAUAUGAGGAUUUCAACAAGUUGCUACAGUGAAUAGUGCUUUGUCUCAGCCCUCCAGAAACAAAAGUGAUAGCUGGUAUUUAUUAAGUUCUGCUGAUAACUUGGAGAAAUAAAAUUCCUGAGUUUCAGUUUAUUUGUAACUUAUGGCUCAGUGAUUUUAUUUCUCCAAGUACUCUCUAUAUACAUAAAGGCUUACCUGUUUUAUUGUGCUUUGCUUUAUUGUGCUCCACAGAUAUUGCAUUUUUGUUUUUAUC
rnacentral:lncRNA from 1 species